AUUGAACGCUGGCGGCAGGCCUAACACAUGCAAGUCGAGCGGAUGAAGGGAGCUUGCUCCUGGAUUCAGCGGCGGACGGGUGAGUAAUGCCUAGGAAUCUGCCUGGUAGUGGGGGAUAACGUCCGGAAACGGGCGCUAAUACCGCAUACGUCCUGAGGGAGAAAGUGGGGGAUCUUCGGACCUCACGCUAUCAGAUGAGCCUAGGUCGGAUUAGCUAGUUGGUGGGGUAAAGGCCUACCAAGGCGACGAUCCGUAACUGGUCUGAGAGGAUGAUCAGUCACACUGGAACUGAGACACGGUCCAGAGUCCUACGGGAGGCAGCAGUGGGGAAUAUUGGACAAUGGGCGAAAGCCUGAUCCAGCCGUGCCGCGUGUGUGAAGAAGGUCUUCGGAUUGUAAAGCACUUUAAGGUGGGAGGAAGGGCAGUAAGUUAAUACCUUGCUGGUUUGACGUUACCAACAGAAGAAGCACCGGCUAACUUCGUG
rnacentral:rRNA from 1 species